rnacentral:rRNA from 1 species
CUCCCGUUGAUCCUGCGGGGGAUCAGCGCUAUUCCUCUCCGACUAACCCAUGGGAGGUUAGGAUACCGGGUAAGGCAUCCUGCCGUACGGCUGAAUAACACGUCAGCAAUCCUUCCUUAGAAAGGAGAUAACCUCGGGAAACUGAGGAUAAUCUCCUAUAGGAAAUAGAUUGUGGAACUCAUCUAUUUCCGAAAGGGUCCGGAUAUUCCCUCCGGACUUCGUCUAAGGGGGAGCUGGCGACCUAUCAGGUUGUUGGCGGGGUAAUGACCCGUCAAGCCUAGGACGGGUAGGGGCCGUGAGAGCGGAAGCCCCCAGAUCGGCACUGAGACAAGGGCCGAGAUCCUACGGGAUGCACCAGGGGCGAAACCUCCGCAAUGGGUAAAAGCCUGACGGGGGGAGAGGAAGUGUCUGGGUCCUACCCAGACUUUUAGAAAGUUUAGAAAGCUUUCUGAAUAAGCAGUGGGCAAAAGGGGUGGCAGUCGCCACGGGAAUACCCCUGCUGCGAGCGCUGGUCUCAUUUACUGGGCCUAAAGGGGCCGUAGCCGGGUUAAUGUGACUUCUGUGAAAUCUGUGAUUUAAUAUCACAGGCGUGCAGGAGUUACUAUUAACCUAGAGGAUAGGAGAAGCUGAGAGUAUUCCUGGGGGAGUGGCGAAAUGCAGCAAUCCCAGGAAGACUACCCGAGGCGAAAGCGCUCAGCUAUUCUACUCCUGACGGUGAGGGCCGAAAGCUAAGGUAUCAAAUGGGAUUAGAGACCCCAGUAGUCUUAGCUAUCAACUCUGUAGGCUAUCUGCUGGAUGGACCUUGAGUCCAUUUAGCGGAAAAGGGAAGCCGUUAAGCCUACCGCCUGGGGAGUAUGGCCGCAAGGCUGAAACUUAAAGGAAUAGGCGGGGGGGCACACAAGGGGUGGGGUGUGCGGUUUAAUGGGACUCUACACCGGAAACCUUACCGGGAGCGACAGCAAAAUGAAGGUCAGGCUGAAGACCUUACCAGAUACGCUGAGAGGAGGUGCAUGGCUGCCGUCAGCUCGUGCCGUAAGGUAUCCUGUUAAGUCAGGAAACGAGCGCGACCCAUGUCUGCAGUUGCUAUAUAGGUAGUUUUACCUAUAGGACACUGCAGAGACUGCCAGGGAAACCUGGAGGAAGGCGUGGGCGACGGCAAGUCCGCAUGCCCCGAAUCUCCCGGGCUACACGCGCGCAACAAUGGGUAGGACAUCGGGAACCAACUCCGAAAGGAGAAGGAAAUCCCAAAACCUACUCUCAAUCCAGACUGAGGGUUGCAACUCACCCUCACGACGAUGGAAUCCCUAGUAAUCGGGGGUCACUAUUCCCCCGGUGAAUACGUCCCUGCCCCUUGCACUCACCGCCCGUCAAGCCAACCGAGUUACUUUCCGGUGAGGCUCAUGAAUAAUGAGUCGAACCGAAAAGCAGCGAGGGGGGCUA